UGGAAAUGAUAGGCGAUGAAGGACGUGUAAAUCUGCGAAAAGUAUCGGGUAGUUGAUAAAAGACCAUAAUCCGGUAAUCUCCGAAUGUAGAAAUACAGUAGAAACUAAUCUUUCUACUAUUAUUAUGUGAAUCAAUAGCAUAAUAAGGCAAACUCGGCGAAGUGAAACAUCUCAGUAGCCGAAGGAAAAGAAAACGAAGUGAUUCCCUCAGUAGUGGUGAGCGGAAGGGGAAUAGGCCAAACUGGGGAAGCGAAAGCUUCCCUAGGGUUGUAGGACCUCAUAACAGCAUUUCUGACUAUAGCAGAAGUUUUUUUGGAACAUGGCGCUAUAAAGGGUGAAAGCCCCGUAUGCGAAAUAGAAUGAAAGCUAGAGGUAUCCUGAGUAGGGCGGGACAUGUGAACCCUGUUUGAAUCCACCCGGACCAUCGGGUAAGCCUAAAUACUAAUCAUUUACCGAUAGUGAACAAGUACUGUGAAGGAAAGGUGAAAAGAACCCAGAUAUGGGAGUGAAAUAGAACAUGAAAUUACUAGCCUACAAAGUGUCAGAGCACAUUUAUGUGUAAUGGCGUGCGUUUUGAAGUAUGAGCCGGAGAGUUAUUGCAAGUUGCAAAGUUAAACCUAAUAAGUGGAGCUGAAGCGAAAGCGAGUCUGAAUAGGGCGUUUUAGUAGGUUGCAAUAGACCCGAAAGGGGACGAGCUAGCCAUGAGCAGGUUGAAAUUUGAAUAAAAUCAGAUGAAGGACUGAACCGACUGUCGUUGAAAUGAUAGCGGAUGACUUGUGGCUAGGGGUGAAAUUCCAAUCGAGUUCCCUGAUAGCUGGUUUUUGUCGAAAUAGUUUUAGGACUAGCGUUAAGCAAUAUAAUGAGUGGAGGUAAAGCACUAAAUCUAUGAGGGCGUUUCGCGACGUACCAAAUAGAAUUAAACUCUGAAUUCCAUUCAUCUUAUCUUGGCAGUGAGACUAUUUGGGAUAAGCUUUAUAGUCGCGAGGGAAAGAGCCCAGACCAACAAAUAAGGUCCCAAAAUUAAGCUAAGUGGAAAAGGAGGUCAAAAUUCAUAAACAACUAGGAUGUUGGCUUAGAAGCAGCCAUCAUUUAAAGAGUGCGUAAUAGCUCACUAGUCUAGUUUUUUGGCGCCGCAAGUAUAACGGGGCUAAGCUUAAUACCGAAUUUUUGGAUUUAUAUCUUUUUGGAUAUGAGUGGUAGACAAAUGUUGUAUAGAGAUUGAAGUCUGAAUGAGAGUAUGGAUGGACUUUAUACAAGUAAGAAUUCCGGCGUGAGUAACGAAUGAAAGUGAGAAUCUUUCUAGCCGAUUGAUUAAGGUUUCUGGGGCUAGGUUCGUCCUCCUCAGGUUAGUCGAUCCUUAGGCGAGGCCGAAAGGCGUAGCUGAUGGACAACAGGUUAAUAUUCCUGUACUACCUUAAGCAUUUGAUGGGCUGACAAAAGGGGCUAAAGUAAGAGGAUUAACGGAUUUCCUUUCAAGAUUUCGAGCAAGCUAAAGUUGAAAAUCUCUUUAGCGUCAUUGUGAGAAUCGAGUAUUAUCUGAAGUAGCGAUAUUUCAGAGAAUUAUUUUUAGUCUAAUUUUCCAGAAAAGGCUCUAAAAUUUGUGCUUAAGGUACUCGUACCGACAACGAACACACGUGAUCAAGGAGAAUAUCCUAAGGCUAGCGAGUUAACUACAGUUAAGGAACUCUGCAAAUUAGCUCUGUAACUUCGGGAGAAAGAGUGCCUGCAAUAAAAUGCGGGUCACAGUAAAGAAUGAGGGCGGACUGUUUAACAAAAACACAGCUAUAUGCAAAAUUCAAACAUGAAGUAUAUGUGGCGACACCUGCCCGGUGCCAGAAGGUCAAAGAAGGAGGUCAGACCGCGAGGUCGAAGCUUUUAACUUAAGCCCUGGUGAACGGCGGCCGUAACUAUAACGGUCCUAAGGUAGCGAAAUUCCUUGUCGGGUAAGUUCCGACCUGCACGAAUGGAGUAACGACUUGGGCGCUGUC
rnacentral:rRNA from 1 species